AUGGUUACUUGCCCUCUGCAACAUGGCGCUGCCCACGCCGGGGUGGCCCCCUGCAGCCCUUGGGAGAAGCCUGGGGGGGGGGGGAACACAGUGCACCCGUCCCCCACCCAGCUGCCAUCACCCCCUUAUGUCCCCAAACACCAGGGCACGGGGCCGCCUGCCGUGGGGCGCAGCCGGCCGUGGGGGCACCCUGGGGUGGGGGCCGCCUGCAGCCCCGCGGGACCUUCGCAGGCCCAAGCCGGGUGGGCAGGAGGCAGCUGCUCCCCCCCCCCUCCCCGGGGGGGAAUUUGGGGGGGGGUUGUCUGUAAUUUCCUGCCUGGUGAGUCAGGCGGAUGCAAAUCCGGGGCCUCCCUCGCGGGGAGCCCAAAUGGGAGCCGGCCCCACGCCCGCCCGGCUCGAGGAAGCGGCAGCGCUGUGAUUUUGGGAAGUGAAACCACGCCAGGAAAACACCGCCGGUGCCCUUGGCCGCGCCGGCCUGGCCCCGCACGUCGCCGCUGCCGCGUGGCUUGGCCUGCCCCACCAGGGACCCCAGCCCGGCUGAGCGCAGGGUGGCUGGCGGCCCAGUGGGUGCACACACACUCCCAGCCAAGGUUUCGGAAAGGCUCCGGAGCUCUUGGCUGCCGGGAGCAGCAUGUCCCCACACCGCGGUGGCCCAGCCACCUCUGUGGCCCGCGGGUGGGCUCUUGUCUCCCAUGUGUCUCCCAAGUCACUCGGGCUCCGGCCUUCCUGGCACAGGGAACGCCUUCCCCAUGUGGGGAACACCUUCCCGUGCUGGUGUCACCCGGAAAACAGGAUGUGGCAUGGGAGGAAGCGCCAUCCUCAGGGAGAAACAGAGGGACAGGGCCCUGGCCAGCACGGGAGCAGGACAUGUCACCGGCUGCCAUGCCCGGCAAUGGGGUGGGACGGGGCCGGCAGCAGCCAUGUGCCGAGGACGUGCUCGGAGGGCUUGGAAGCGGAGGUGAGGGGCGCACGAAGGGGAUGGGAACGGGCGAGACGGGACCGUACCCCAGGCUGGAUUGGGAGACGGGGCCUUGGGCCACGCUCCUGGCCAGGGGCAAGAAGCGUCCCCAAAGGCAGCGUCCCCAAAGACCCCAGAGAUGGUCCCCAAAGGCGGCAUCCCCAAAAGGCAGCGUCCCCAAGGACUGUCCCCAACGGCAGCACCCCCAAGGGCAGCAUCCCCAAGGACUGUCCCCAACAGCAGCAUUCCCAAGGGCAGCAUCCCCAAAGAUUGUCCCCAAAGACUGUGUCCCCAAGGGCAGCCGGUGGUGCAGGUGGGCAUGA
rnacentral:lncRNA from 1 species